GAUAAUGAUAUUGUUAAAUUGAAGCUAUUUCCUUUUUCGCUUAGAGAUCGUGCUAAAGCUUGGUUUUCAUCUUUGCCUAAAAAUAGUAUUGAUUCAUGGAACAAGUGCAAAGAUGCUUUUAUCUCUAAGUAUUUUCCUCCCGCUAAGAUCAUCUCUCUUAGAAACGAUAUUAUGAAUUUUAAGCAACUUGAUCAUGAACAUGCUGCACAAGCUUGGGAGAGAAUGAAAUUAAUGAUACGUAAUUGCCCUACUCAUGGUUUAAAUUUGUGGAUGAUUGUUCAGAAUUUUUAUGUCGGAUUGAAUUUUGCUUCUAGAAAUCUUUUAGAUUCGGCCGCGGGAGGCACUUUUAUGGAAAUCACUUUAGGAGAUGCUACUAAACUCCUAGAUAAUAUUAUGGUUAAUUAUUCUCAAUGGCAUACUGAAAGAUCUACUAAAAAGGUGCAUGCGAUAGAAGAAAUUAAUGUUUUGAGUGGAAAGAUGGAUGAACUUAUGAAAUUAUUUGCUAAUAAGAGUGUUUCUUCUGAUCCUAAUGAUAUGCCCUUGUCUACUUUGAUUGAGAAUAAUAAUGAAUCUAUGGAUGUGAAUUUUGUUGGUAGGAACAAUUUUGGUAACAACGCGUAUAGAGGAAAUUUCAAUCCUAGGCCUUAUCCUAGUAAUCCAUCU
rnacentral:rRNA from 1 species